rnacentral:lncRNA from 1 species
CACAUUUAAGUGAUUAGAACCUGUCAUUUUUUGUUGUUGUUUUCAGACUGACACAAAUGACAGGACAAAGAAACAUACAAGGAAAUAAAAUGAAAAUUCAGAACAGAUGUUAGGACACAUUUUUCAUGCUGAAUGUGCAGAGUGGUCAACCAGAGUGAGACCUUAGUGUCUGCAUGUUCCUGGCAUGUCCAACACAGCUACUGCUUUCAAGAGGAGCUCAAGGAGUGUGCAGAUAUUUCUUCAAAACUAAGCAGUUACUUCUCCGGCUGAUUCUCCCACCUCUCCCAGACAAGAGGAUAGCAAGAAACACAAGAAGAUGGAACUGCUUUUUGUGUUCCUCCACAAAGGCUAAGAAAUAA